rnacentral:rRNA from 1 species
GUCCACGCUGUAAACGAUGAGUACUAGGUGUUGGGGUAUUGACCCCUCCAGUGCCGGCGCUAACGCAAUAAGUACUCCGCCUGGGGAUUACGGUCGCAAGACUAAACUCAAAGGAAUUGACGGGGCCCGCACAAGCGGUGGAGCAUGUGGUUUAAUUCGAAGCAACGCGAAGAACCUUACCUGGCCUUGACAUCCGAGGGACCCUGCCGAAACGCGGGGGUAGGCCUCUGGUCGAACCUCGAGACAGGUGCUGCAUGGCUGUCGU